rnacentral:tRNA from 1 species
GGGGACUUAGCUCAGUGGUAGAGCGUUUGCCUAGCAAGCACAAGGCCCUGCCUGGGUUCAGUCCUCA